AGAGUUUGAUCAUGGCUCAGGAUAAACGCUGGCGGCGCACAUAAGACAUGCAAGUCGAACGGAAGCCGUUUUAAUUGAAGAGAAGAUUUAUCGGAUUGGAAAUUAAAACAAUGACUUUAGUGGCGGACUGGUGAGUAACGCGUGAGCAACCUGCCUAUUAGAGGGGAAUAACAGUGAGAAAUCAUUGCUAAUACCGCAUAAGCUAGUAAUGCUGCAUGGCAUAGCUAGAAAAGGAGUAAUCCGCUAAUAGAUGGGCUCGCGUCCGAUUAGCUAGUUGGUGGGGUAAAGGCUUACCAAGGCGACGAUCGGUAGCCGAGCUGAGAGGCUCUACGGCCACAUUGGGACUGAGAUACGGCCCAGACUCCUACGGGAGGCAGCAGUCGGGAAUAUUGCGCAAUGGAGGAAACUCUGACGCAGUGACGCCGCGUAUAGGAAGAAGGUUUUAGGAUUGUAAACUAUUUUAGACAGGGAAGAAAGAAGACAGUACCUGUAGAAUAAGCUCCGGCUAACUACGUGCCAGCAGCCGCGGUAAUACGUAGGGAGCAAGCGUUAUCCGGAAUUAUUGGGUGUAAAGGGUGCGUAGACGGAAUUUAAGUUGGUUGUGAAAUCCCUCGGCUUAACUGAGGAACUGCA
rnacentral:rRNA from 1 species